rnacentral:rRNA from 1 species
GUGGCGAACGGGUGAGUAACACGUGGGUAACCUGCCCAUCAGAAGGGGAUAACACUUGGAAACAGGUGCUAAUACCGUAUAACAAUCGAAACCGCAUGGUUUUGAUUUGAAAGGCGCUUUCGGGUGUCGCUGAUGGAUGGACCCGCGGUGCAUUAGCUAGUUGGUGAGGUAACGGCUCACCAAGGCCACGAUGCAUAGCCGACCUGAGAGGGUGAUCGGCCACAUUGGGACUGAGACACGGCCCAAACUCCUACGGGAGGCAGCAGUAGGGAAUCUUCGGCAAUGGACGAAAGUCUGACCGAGCAACGCCGCGUGAGUGAAGAAGGUUUUCGGAUCGUAAAACUCUGUUGUUAGAGAAGAACAAGGAUGAGAGUAACUGUUCAUCCCUUGACGGUAUCUAACCAGAAAGCCACGGCUAACUACGUGCCAGCAGCCGCGGUAAUACGUAGGUGGCAAGCGUUGUCCGGAUUUAUUGGGCGUAAAGCGAGCGCAGGCGGUUUCUUAAGUCUGAUGUGAAAGCCCCCGGCUCAACCGGGGAGGGUCAUUGGAAACUGGGAGACUUGAGUGCAGAAGAGGAGAGUGGAAUUCCAUGUGUAGCGGUGAAAUGCGUAGAUAUAUGGAGGAACACCAGUGGCGAAGGCGGCUCUCUGGUCUGUAACUGACGCUGAGGCUCGAAAGCGUGGGGAGCAAACAGGAUUAGAUACCCUGGUAGUCCACGCCGUAAACGAUGAGUGCUAAGUGUUGGAGGGUUUCCGCCCUUCAGUGCUGCAGCUAACGCAUUAAGCACUCCGCCUGGGG